UACGUAGGUGGCGAGUGUUGUCCGGAUUUACUGGGCGUAAAGAGCGCGCAGGCGGUCGGAUAAGUCGAAUGUGAAAGCCCCCGGCUCAACUGGGGAGGGUCAUUCGAUACUGUUCGACUCGAAGGCAGGAGAGGGAAGUGGAAUUCCCGGUGUAGUGGUGAAAUGCGUAGAUAUCGGGAGGAACACCAGUGGCGAAGGCGACUUCCUGGCCUGUUCUUGACGCUGAGGCGCGAAAGCUAGGGGAGCAAACGGG
rnacentral:rRNA from 1 species